GAUUAAGAACGUAGCGAAAUGCGAUAAGUAAUGUGAAUUGCAGAAUUCAGUGAAUCAUCGAAUCUUUGAACGCACCUUGCGCUCUUUGGUAUUCCGAAGAGCAUGCCUGUUUGAGUGUCAUGAAAAUAUCAACCUUGACUUGGGUUUUGUGCUCUAGUCUCGGCUUGGAAUUGGGUGCUUGCCGCUUUUACGAGCGGCUCACCUUAAAUGUAUUAGCUGGAUCUGUCUUUGAGACUUGGUUUGACUUGGCGUAAUAAGUAUUUCGCUAAGGACAUUCUUCGGAGUGGCCUCGUUUCUAGGACGCUUGUCCGCUUUCCAAUACAAGUUCCACCUCGUGGACAUGACUUUUUAUUAUCUGGCCUCAAAUCAGGUAGGACUACCCGCUGAACUUAAGCAUAUCAAUAAGCGGAGGA
rnacentral:misc_RNA from 1 species